UCGUAAAUUCUCCUCCUGAGGGAGACUCAUCGUAUCAAAAUUUCCAUUAUCAAAUCGAAGCAGCGCUUAACUUCAUUCGUGAAGAAUAGUGAACAGAUAACCUUAAGAUUCCCCUAUUUGGCAGCCGUGGAAAAAUUUCUGGAAUCCAAUUCCGUCUAGAACAUAAACUAACGUGUCAAUUUCCGUCUACCGCCCUCAAUAGCCACAGUCCACCUAAUUCCGGCUAAUCCACAUAAUCUGAACGGUGCGCCAAAUCCUAUAACUACCCUCAUCCCCUCUAUGUUCUUCACUCUCAAUGACUACUCAACUUGGAUUUUAAAAAAAUGAAAGAAAUGUAUUUUAGUGCCACUCAAGGAUAACCAGACUGGAAAUAUAUAAGCUAUUCUGGAUUUCGGGUUUGUAAGUCUCUGAUAAUUAUAGAUGGAGAAUAACUUUUAAAACAACUUAUAAGG